UAAAGUUCUCAGGGCGGGGUGAAAGUCCCCACCGGCGGUAAGGGCCUCAAACCCAAGCCCGCGAGCGCUUUCCAAGACAAUUGGAAAGGUCAGCAGAUCCGGUGUGAUUCCGGAGCCGACGGUUAGAGUCCGGAUGAAAGAGGACGAAA
rnacentral:ncRNA from 19 species